UACGUAGGGUGCAAGCGUUGUCCGGAAUUAUUGGGCGUAAAGAGCUCGUAGGCGGUCUGUCACGUCGGCUGUGAAAUCCCGAGGCUCAACCUCGGGUCUGCAGUCGAUACGGGCAAACUAGAGUAUUGCAGGGGAGACUGGAAUUCCUGGUGUAGCGGUGAAAUGCGCAGAUAUCAGGAGGAACACCGGUGGCGAAGGCGGCAUCCUGGACCAAUUCUGACGCUGAGGAGCGAAAGCCAGGGGAGCAAACGGG
rnacentral:rRNA from 1 species